rnacentral:ncRNA from 1 species
UAGGCAGACGGUAAGUGCUUUGACGUACAGUUAGGUCAUGAAAAGACUAUGACCAACAUGCUGCCUGCACUGACAGGAAGCAACGUCAUCUAUGGUA